GAGUUUGAUCCUGGCUCAGAACGAACGCUGGCGGCGUGCCUAACACAUGCAAGUCGAACGUGAUCCAGGGCUUGCUCUGGUGAAAGUGGCGCACGGGUGAGUAACGCGUGGAUAACCUACCCUGGUAUCCGGGAUAACAUUCCGAAAGGGGUGCUAAUACCGGAUAAGCCCACGGGCUCUUUGGAGCUUGCGGGAAAAGGUGGCCUCUAUUUAUAAGCUACUGUAUCAGGAUGGGUCCGCGUACCAUUAGCUAGUUGGCGGUGUAACGGACCACCAAGGCGACGAUGGUUAGCUGGUCUGAGAGGAUGAUCAGCCACACUGGAACUGAGACACGGUCCAGACUCCUACGGGAGGCAGCAGUGGGGAAUUUUGCGCAAUGGGGGAAACCCUGACGCAGCAACGCCGCGUGAGUGAUGAAGGCCUUUGGGUCGUAAAGCUCUGUCAGAGGGGAAGAAAUGAUAUAGUGCUAAUACCACUUUAUCUUGACGGUACCCUCAAAGGAAGCACCGGCUAACUCCGUGCCAGCAGCCGCGGUAAUAC
rnacentral:rRNA from 1 species